GCCGAACUCCUGUUACAGAAAACUAAAAAUAUGAUCUUAUUUACAAAGUGCAUGAACAAGCUAUUUUUACUCGCAAUCAGCUGUCAUUUGUACAUCUAUGGAAGAAGAGGGCAGAUCCAUUUACACUUCGAAGGACAAGCAAUCUUGAAUCUAAAUAUGUUCCGCAAACGAUUUUUGACAGAUCGAACAUUUCAGGAGGUAUUUGGGUGCGUACUUCUUGAAUUGCUUUCUGUGCAACUUCCAUGUUUCCAUUCAGUGGUUUAUUAAGACUCAUCAUCACAUCGAUUUCAUCCGACACAAGUUUAGCUACGGAAAGGCUGGAAGGGAUUUCGUAUAUCGGGAUUGCUUUCCUCCACUUUUUACUAGAUAGCCUUUUCAGGACGGAAGCUUGAGCAUCCUGUGUAGCUGAAGGAAACUUUGAGCUGAUAGUUUCCUCCUCAAGAUAUAACCGUCUCCCAGCUCUCAAUCUGAAAAAGGAAUUAACUUGCAGUUCUCCCCCAACGCCAGACUUGUCAUGAGCCCAGUCACGACCAGCCAUAACUGUGAAGCUAAUAUGUGAGGCAGCUGAAAAUGUGGUCUUAGGUUGUGACACUUUAGACAUUGUUAGGUAUACUUCCCCAAUGAGUACUCUAACAGAAGGCUGUCGAAGGGUCAACCCUAUAUGUCUUCCAGUACAAUAUAACAGCCGCCACUUUCCAGGAAGCAAUCCCAACCAAUGCUUUGGCUUUGGAUAAGGAUUCAGCAUCUCCAUUAAUUCGACAAAAUGAGCAAGCCUACUUCGCUGCUGUUGCCCAUAAAUAUAUUCCUCUGCAAUUCGAACAGUGGUUGAGCCAAGACUCCAUCUGAUUAGAUCAAUAGAUGGGUUCACACGCCAUUUUGGUCCACACAAGAAGGGAUGCCUCAGAGCAUUUAAGCAACUUAUCCUGUCCAAAGGUUUAGGUGCAAGGAGUACUGAAAGCAAAUGCCAACCUGCACCCCAGUUCCUAUCGAGUAUUUGUAUACCAAAGUUUCCGACCGAAGAAUUUCUUUUUACAGCAUGCAGAAGAAACUCCCGCAAACAGGAGGGAUCAUUUCCCUUGGUGAGGAAUGCUUUGAACUUGGCAAAGAUCGUUGGGUCCAU
rnacentral:misc_RNA from 1 species